rnacentral:rRNA from 1 species
UCUGCAACCCGACUCCACGAAGCUGGAUUCGCUAGUAAUCGCGCAUCAGCCACGGCGCGGUGAAUACGUUCCCGGGCCUUGUACACACCGCCCGUCAAGCCAUGGGAGCCGGGGGUACCUGAAGUGCGUAACCGCGAGGAGCGCCCUAGGGUAAAACUGGUGACUGGGGCUAAGUCGUAACAAGGUAAC